rnacentral:rRNA from 1 species
GCUGGCGGCGUGCCUAAUACAUGCAAGUCGAGCGAACGGACGAGAAGCUUGCUUCUCUGAUGUUAGCGGCGGACGGGUGAGUAACACGUGGAUAACCUACCUAUAAGACUGGGAUAACUUCGGGAAACCGGAGCUAAUACCGGAUAAUAUUUUGAACCGCAUGGUUCAAAAGUGAAAGACGGUCUUGCUGUCACUUAUAGAUGGAUCCGCGCUGCAUUAGCUAGUUGGUAAGGUAACGGCUUACCAAGGCAACGAUGCAUAGCCGACCUGAGAGGGUGAUCGGCCACACUGGAACUGAGACACGGUCCAGACUCCUACGGGAGGCAGCAGUAGGGAAUCUUCCGCAAUGGGCGAAAGCCUGACGGAGCAACGCCGCGUGAGUGAUGAAGGUCUUCGGAUCGUAAAACUCUGUUAUUAGGGAAGAACAUAUGUGUAAGUAACUGUGCACAUCUUGACGGUACCUAAUCAGAAAGCCACGGCUAACUACGUGCCAGCAGCCGCGGUAAUACGUAGGUGGCAAGCGUUAUCCGGAAUUAUUGGGCGUAAAGCGCGCGUAGGCGGUUUUUUAAGUCUGAUGUGAAAGCCCACGGCUCAACCGUGGAGGGUCAUUGGAAACUGGAAAACUUGAGUGCAGAAGAGGAAAGUGGAAUUCCAUGUGUAGCGGUGAAAUGCGCAGAGAUAUGGAGGAACACCAGUGGCGAAGGCGACUUUCUGGUCUGUAACUGACGCUGAUGUGCGAAAGCGUGGGGAUCAAACAGGAUUAGAUACCCUGGUAGUCCACGCCGUAAACGAUGAGUGCUAAGUGUUAGGGGGUUUCCGCCCCUUAGUGCUGCAGCUAACGCAUUAAGCACUCCGCCUGGGGAGUACGACCGCAAGGUUGAAACUCAAAGGAAUUGACGGGGACCCGCACAAGCGGUGGAGCAUGUGGUUUAAUUCGAAGCAACGCGAAGAACCUUACCAAAUCUUGACAUCCUUUGACAACUCUAGAGAUAGAGCCUUCCCCUUCGGGGGACAAAGUGACAGGUGGUGCAUGGUUGUCGUCAGCUCGUGUCGUGAGAUGUUGGGUUAAGUCCCGCAACGAGCGCAACCCUUAAGCUUAGUUGCCAUCAUUAAGUUGGGCACUCUAAGUUGACUGCCGGUGACAAACCGGAGGAAGGUGGGGAUGACGUCAAAUCAUCAUGCCCCUUAUGAUUUGGGCUACACACGUGCUACAAUGGACAAUACAAAGGGCAGCGAAACCGCGAGGUCAAGCAAAUCCCAUAAAGUUGUUCUCAGUUCGGAUUGUGGUCUGCAACUCGACUACAUGAAGCUGGAAUCGCUAGUAAUCGUAGAUCAGCAUGCUACGGUGAAUACGUUCCCGGGUCU